rnacentral:rRNA from 1 species
UACGUAGGGUGUGAGCGUUAAUCGGAAUUCUGGGCAUAAAGCGUGCGCAGGCGGUGAUGUAAGACCGAUGUGAAAUCCCCGGGCUUAACCUGGGAACUGCAUUGGUGACUGCAUUGCUGGAGUAUGGCAGAGGGGGGGUGGAAUUCCACGUGUAGCAGUGAAAUGCGUAGAGAUGUGGAGGAACACCGAUGGCGAAGGCAGCCCCCUGGGCCAAUACUGACGCUCAUGCACGAAAGCGUGGGGAGCAAACAGG